rnacentral:sRNA from 1 species
UAAACCUCUUUUAUCAAGGAAGAAGAUCUGACGGUACUUGAUGAAUAAGCCACGGCUAAUUCCGUGCCAGCAGCCGCGGUAAUACGGGAGUGGCAAGCGUUAUCCGGAAUUAUUGGGCGUAAAGCGUCCGCAGGCGGUUUUACAAGUCUGUCGUUAAAGCGUGGAGCUUAACUCCAUUUCAGCGAUGGAAACUGUAAGACUAGAGUGUGGUAGGGGCAGAGGGAAUUCCCGGUGUAGCGGUGAAAUGCGUAGAUAUCGGGAAGAACACCAGUGGCGAAGGCGCUCUGCUGGGCCAUAACUGACGCUCAUGGACGAAAGCCAGGGGAGCGAAAGGGAUUAGAUACCCCUGUAGUCCUGGCCGUAAACGAUGAACACUAGGUGUCGGGGGAAUCGACCCCCUCGGUGUCGUAGCCAACGCGUUAAGUGUUCCGCCUGGGGAGUACGCACGCAAGUGUGAAACUCAAAGGAAUUGACGGGGGCCCGCACAAGCGGUGGAGUAUGUGGUUUAAUUCGAUGCAACGCGAAGAACCUUACCAGGGUUUGACAUCCUGCGAAUCCCUUGGAAACGAGGGAGUGCCUUCGGGAACGCAGUGACAGGUGGUGCAUGGCUGUCGUCAGCUCGUGUCGUGAGAUGCUGGGUUAAGUCCCGCAACGAGCGCAACCCACGUCUUUAGUUGCCAGCAUUAAGUUGGGCACUCUAGAGAGACUGCCGGUGAUAAACCGGAGGAAGGUGUGGAUGACGUCAAGUCAUCAUGCCCCUUACAUCCUGGGCUACACACGUACUACAAUGCUACGGACAAAGGGCAGCAAACUCGCGAGAGCUAGCAAAUCCCAUAAACCGUGGCUCAGUUCAGAUCGUAGGCUGCAACUCGCCUACGUGAAGGAGGAAUCGCUAGUAAUCGCAGGUCAGCAUACUGCGGUGAAUACGUUCCCGGGCCUUGUACACACCGCCCGUCACACCAUGGAAGUUGGCCACGCCCGAAGUCGUUACUCCAACCCUUGUGGAGGAGGAUGCCGAAGGUGGGGCUGAUGACUGGGGUGAAGUCGUAACAAGGUAGCCGUACCGGAAGGUGCGGCUGGAUCACCUCCUAACAGGGAGACAACAACUGAUCGUGAUGUCUGAGUUUUUUAAUCUUAGGCCAUGAUCCUGUCAUCUCGAAGGUCGAUCGGUACCUCAACUUGAGGGGUAGAGAAGAGCUGAGCAAUCAGCUUGGAGACUUGACCCUUUUAAUUUCAGUUCCUAAACUUUGUCUAGGUCACCCCACAGAGGGUAAAGCCGAGAGUGCGAGCAGCAAUGUGCGUACUGAACUGGCAAGCCGGAAGGCGAGCUGGAUGCGGCAACAACUCCUGGGCCAUUAGCUCAGGUGGUUAGAGCGCACCCCUGAUAAGGGUGAGGUCCCUGGUUCAAGUCCAGGAUGGCCCAUUCGUGUUUGGGGGUUUAGCUCAGUUGGUAGAGCGCCUGCUUUGCAAGCAGGAUGUCAGCGGUUCGAGUCCGCUAACCUCCAUCCAAUGAUGUGUGCCCCAAGCAACGAAUGGAAAGGAGUUGCUGGUGAGGUGAUGUAGACGGUUGACGCUGAGUCAGAUGACUCCAGCCUCGUGUCAUUCUUGAUGGUUCAUCAAGUUGUCACGAUGCUGGACUCAAUGCGUUCUGGAGACAGAAGGCAUUGCAGGAUCAGCAGAACCUUGACAACUGCAUAGGUGAGUCUGGAAAUAAAGCAUCUCAUGGAUGCUUGAUUCUAGAUCAAGUUAAGUCCAGCAAUGGAUGAGAUUUGAUUUGGGAUCAAGAAAAUUCUAUUGAGUUUUUAGAGCCGAGAGCUACCAGUUUUCUUCUGAGCCCGCCGAGGGUUUGGGAGUUUGAUCCUGGCAUUCAAACCGCAAUUGAGAUUCUGAGAAAUCCGGAUCAAGGUUGUAAGUGAAUCCAGAGAGAAUCGGUUUCAACAGCCGCAAGCGGAUUAAAGAUCGCAGCUGAUAAGGACUGGGAGUUACAUUUGGUCAAGCUACAAAGGGCUCACGGUGGAUACCUWGGCACACAGAGGCGADG